ACGCAUGACUGCAGGUGCAGACAUACAAUAGCUAGCUUAGCAAUAGCAUUGUAGCGUGAAGCAAGAUGUAAUUUCUUUAAAAAAAAAGAGAAAGAGGAUAAUGCCCUUGUGUUCCGAUCCUCCCUUCAGUUCACUGAUGGUCUCUUAGCAUCUUAGCAUGUUGAUGCGUCAUUGUUUUGAGUCAGACUUUGUAUAGUGUGACAAGGCUUAAGUUCCUGAUUCCCGGUUAUUUUUGUUGUACUCCCGUCCAUAUUUGUUCAACCCGUAUAUCUCGGUUCCCGUCCCACAUUCUUUGGCAAGCUGUGGAACAGGGUGGAGGUGCGUCGCAAAUGCAUUUGGAAGGUUGUGGAUCUCGUCCAAACCCCAUCAAACCG
rnacentral:lncRNA from 1 species